UACGUAGGGGUCGAGCGUUGUCCGGACUUACUGGGCGUAAAGCGUGGGUAGGUGGUCGGUGAUGUGCCGUGUGAAAAGCCCCCGCGUUUCAUCGGGGGGGGAGGUCGCGGUAGACACAUUGACUUGAGGCAUACAGAGGGCCGUGGAAUUCCCGGUGUAGUGGUGAAAUGCGUAGAUAUCGGGGAGGAACACCAGUGGCGCAAAGCGGCGGCCUGGGUAUGACCUGACACUGAGCCACGACGGCGUGGGGGAGCAAACGGGG
rnacentral:rRNA from 1 species